CUGGACAAGCGCUCUAAAUCAAGCCAGUGGCAUGAGAUCACCCUGGCUCUAGCAUUUUGGAAGAAGAUGACCAUUUUGGAAGAAGCAGCCCAAUGAGAAAAUAGGAGACUUCUUCGAGUCUGGUGUUUGUGCGUCCAUGCAAAGACGCUACGUUGCUUUAGGACGCCAAACAGAGAAGUCACGCGGCAUGAGAAGGCUAAAAAUAAGCAGUUUUCUAAUUUCCCACGAAACCACCCUUGUUUAAGCCUAAGAUGUAAGAUGCAGUAUUCUCUCUUAGGGAACCAUUAAGGAUAAAGAAUCAACGUGAACUGAGUCUCAUAACGUGUUUUAUUUCAUUUAGUCCCUUGGCAUUUUGAGGUGGGUGUCAGGGUCCUCCCUUCACUGACAGGGAAACAACUCUAAGAGGAUCACCACGGCCAAGCUGCCACUCAAGCCAACACCUGCUCGACUUCAAGAGCCAGGCUUUUUUCUACUACCCGUCGUGUUUUGUUUUCUCCCCUCCCGUUUCGUUUGCAUUAGGUGUAGGGACUACAGCUACCCUGUCACCCACGGUCGCUGCGAAAUGUCGCUUACGGUCAGGCCCCCAGAACGGUCACGCGCCCUCCCCUCCUGAGGUGUCUCCGAAACUCGAGCUCCACCGACGAGAAGCGCAGGCCUGAGGCACCGACGCCAGCGCCAGCGCCAGCGCCAGCCCCAGCGUGGCCUCAGGAGCCCGGAAGGCGCCCCCGGGGCGCGUUUACAACACUGUCGUAAAGCGGCGGCUGCCGACAGCCGGCCUCGAGGCGCCGUCGAGGAGCUCGGCGGAGAAAGGAGAUGGAGGAAGGCUGAGGGCCGGGUGACGCCGAAUGGAGACGAGGCGCGGGGUGAAUGGUUGGAGAAGGGAGAGUGAAUGCGGAUUAUCAGGAGAACACAAAUGUGCUGAAGUUAAAGAAAAAUAGGUGCCAUUGUUUUUUUCUUUUAACACGUCAUUUGAAAAUAAAGAUCUUUAAGGAUCACUGGGAGCUGGGAUGUUCAAGUGAAAGUUACCCAUACUGACUUCCUGUCCUCCAGAUAGUAGUUGUUCCAAGAAUCUGCUCUAAGUCAGUCCUUUCAUAUGUCAAGCCUUCAAAAGAUAACCAUCCAUACUUUGGACAGCCUUGCAGAAGAUCUGAUUAUAACAUCUCUUUACUUCUUUACUUAUAGUAGAAAAGUAUUGUGUUUCUUCAAAGGGUUAAAAGAUGUAUAUAGCAAUAAAAAUAGACACUUAAUAUGAUACA
rnacentral:lncRNA from 1 species